UACGUAGGGGGCAAGCGUUGUCCGGAUUUAUUGGGCGUAAAGCGCGUGUAGGCGGCCAUGCAGGUCCGCUGUGAAAACUCGAGGCUCAACCUCGAGAUGUCGGUGGAAACCGUUUGGCUAGAGUCCGGAAGAGGAGAGUGGAAUUCCUGGUGUAGCGGUGAAAUGCGCAGAUAUCAGGAAGAACACCAAUGGCGAAGGCAGCUCUCUGGGACGGUACUGACGCUGAGACGCGAAAGCGUGGGGAGCGAACAGG
rnacentral:rRNA from 1 species